AAAACAGGUAUUGCUUUCAUCUUUUCAUGUCUCUUUCUCACACUCUGGAAUAUUUGGGUAAAGACAGCAAUCGGCGCAAAUACUGAUUCAUUGUAAGACGCAGCUAUGGUCGGCUAUUGUGAAGAAACUGGCAGCCUGGAAGAAAUUGACGGUGAUGGUUGAUGUGAAGAAACUAUUGCCGUGGAGUACCGUAUAAGAUAAUGGCACUACUCGAGAAGCCCCAUCAAUUCGCCCAGUUGAUUAAAGUUUUGACUACGACGGAAUCUGAAAAGGCCUUUUAUCAAGAGCAAAACUCAACCUGAGCCAAGAAAUUCAGUCAGGGGGCUCCCACAAAAUAGUUGACAAAUGAACGUGGAGGCACCAGCCAAUUCUAUCUGGAAUUUUGCUAUAGAUGAGACUAGACUUUCAGACGGUCGUCAACGUUGAGAAAGAAGAAGAAUCUGAAUCCAAAGUAGAGCCAGAAGAACCAACUACUACCGGUAUACCAAGAGAACUUAUUCCACACGCUCUGGAUUGUAAAACGGUCAGGGAAGUCGCCCCACCUGAUUACGUAAAUGCAAGUUAGUGGAAGCGCCCAAAUCGUCGCAACCAACCAUCACAUAAAAAUGAAGAUGACUUGCAACUUUAGGGUGCUACUAACUAAGCAUAACGCAGCAUUGCCAAUUUCAGUUUUGCUAUUAAAAACGUCCGUAUCUUGCAUCUCUGCAAUCGCGAAGAGCCAAUCAGCAAAAGCGGCAAAAGUCCGACUGUGAACUAUGAUUUACAAGUUGAUGUUCUGACAAACUUGUCUAGAUCUACAUUCUAGAUUGAUUUUAUCUGAAUAUUAUACAAGAAAAAGAGACAACAAUAUCAAAUGAGAAAUCUUUUUAUCUAGUGUGAAGAUUAAAAACUAUCAUAAAUCAAAGGACAACGGGAGGAACACUCAAAAUGCGUAGAUUGGAUGAAAAAAUAUAAGGGUUACAAACCAGUCCGAUUAUUGAGGAGGG